GUACAACGGAGUCUAUUCAAGGUCUAUGACUGUAACAUCCCCCUGCUGCAAUCUGCAAAAAUCAAAAUUAUAGAAUUAAACAUCUGUUGGUGAACUCUGAAAUGAAACAUAAAUAAAUAUACAAAAUUACAUACGGGCAUAUAAGAAUAAAAUCAAUUAAACUUUAUUUUAUUUUCUUUAAAGUAAAAUUCAAAAUUUAAUUUUUUUUUUUUUUAAUCAACUUUUUUUACUUUAUUUUUCCAUGAAAUUUAGCAUUGUAACUGCUGUAAAAAUACCAAAACUAUUGCCAUUUGGCUUAGUUAGUCUGUUUCUUAUGUUACCUUUUCUGACAUGGGACACAGACUUCUUUUUAAAUGAGUUUUACUGUGUGAAUUGCUGUGUGUUUGUUUUUUCUACAUUGGCUCCUAGAGGUAUAGGUGUGGGUUGAGAUCUCUCAAACCUGUUUAACCCACUGUAUUUAUGCACCUGUCUCUAGUUAGAAGCCUCUGGCCUUUGUUAGUCUUGUAUGUUUUUUUAAUUUUAGUUCAUUUAUAUGUUUUUGAGUUUAGUAUGACAUCCACUUUUACCGAACUAGUACACAUUUUUGUGUAGGGCCUGCUGAAGCCUGCCUCCUGAUGCUGAAUUUUCUGGUUGAGUUGAAGAGCCAUUAGUGGCCUUCGGCUGUUUUCUGCUCUUUGGUUGGGUUGUUGUACCAUUAUUUUCAAUUUUGUAUAAGAUUCAUAUUUUUUGUUGGAAAAACCAGUCACCAAACCUGUUGUGUGCGGUGGCUCCCUUGUUUCAUUUUUUUAUUUUGACAUUCUGUUCUUUUUAUUAUCUGACCAAGCUGAGCAACCUUCUACUACAAUGGUACCUAUUAAAUGUUGCAUGCAUACAGACCAAAAUGAGGUUAAAUUAUAGUCUUGGAAAAAAAUAAUAAAUAUGCAAAGUUUUUAGCUCAUUUUUACAAAAUUUAACUAAACAGACUGCUACCCGUUGGUUUUCCUCCCGUUUGAAUGGUUUUACACUAGUAAUUUUGGGGCCCUUUAUAGCUUGUUGUUCGGUGUGAGCCAAGGCUCCGUGUUGAAGGACGUUCAUUGACCUAUAAUGGUUUACUUUCAUAAAUUGUUAUUUGGAUGGAGAGUUGUCUCAUUGGCACUCGACACACCACAUCUUCCUAUAUCUACUUGCUAAUUGCAGGUCAUUACUUCAUUAUUCCACUUUAAUUUAUGUUUAUCAAAAAUGAAGUGCUGUUAUUUAUUGUCUUUUUUUUUUUUAUAGCAAAUGCCUCUUUAAGUGAUAAAUUAUCUUAAUGUAUUUUUUCAAACUUUUAAAAAGUGAAUGGAAGCUGACUAAAAUACACAAGAUAAUUCAGUAAUUUUUUUUUAACAAUUUCAAGCUCCUAUGUGUGUAACAUAUCAAACCUUAAGCUUAGCUUUACAAAUUUGAUGGAUUCUUUAAUGUUUUUUGAGUGAAAGUGACAAGCUCCUUGUGAAAAAAAGCAUAUUCUAGUAUUGCACAAACCAUAAGCCUUGCUAUCAACAGUAAAUUUGGUGAAAAUAUUAAAAUCAAAUCUUCUUAUCAUGUAGAAAAAGUUAUGCUGCAUUUUGUUCAAACUCAUUUAUACUCUUCAGAAACUAAAAAAAAUCAGUCAAAGUCAAUCAAAUGUUUAGCAUUGACAAUGCAUUGAACAUUUCAAUGGAACUAACAUACAUAAGGUCUUUAUGACUCAAGAGGUCAAAGCCCAUAAAACAACC
rnacentral:lncRNA from 1 species